UUGGCCGCUCGCAAACUUGGGGGCGAACUUGGAGGAGGCCCGCCGAGCGCUGGUGGAGGGAGGGUCCGCCCGAGGAAUCCCCGGUUCCCGCGCCUUUCCCUCCGCUCCCUAGACAUCUACCGAAGCAGCCGCCCCUGCGCGCCCACUGCGUAGGCCAGGCCCGGGACGGGAAGGCGGAUCGGGGACACGGACGCGACUCCGCAAGCCCACCCCCGCUCCCAGCGCCUCGGAACCGGCCAAGGGAGUGGGGCCCGCAGACAGCCCAGGUCGAGGCCGAAAGCCAACUCCACAGCACCCCACCGCGAAGUCCUUGUAGUGCUGGGGUGUGCGGUCAGCUCCCCCUGCGCACUCCUGCGCACUCAGAGCUCGCAAGGGGCGGACCGAGCAGGAUGCUUGAGGCCUGUGGUAGACUCGGUCCGGACCAGAGGCCUGGGGGAAGGGGUCUCCGUAGGGACGGAUGGGAGAGAUACAGAGGAAGUAGAAUGGCCAGGCUGUGGACUGCGGUAGGAAGUAGAGGAAACGAAGCUGCCUGAGAGACAUGGACUCCACUGAAAUGUCUUCAACCUCCUUCUGCAGCACUCAACACAGGCAGUAGGACAGGGGGAGGAGACAGAAAGUGGAAGUAAUUCCUUGCGGAGUAGUCAACAUCAAUAUUCUCUUGUCUUCAAAAUUGUCCAAACAGUAAACAAAGACAUGGAAAAAUGUUCAACCUACUAGUAAUUCAAGAAACGCAAAAUCAAAACAUCAGAGACAAAUUUUUCAACUAGCAACCACUGCAGAGAAGGAAAAUCACAAAACCCAAUGCUGUUGAGGGUGUGGUAAAGCCAUACUACUAUGUAUCUGUCUGACAUGCCAGAAAAGGAAUUUGGCAAUAAGUAUUAAGAGCCAUAAAAAUC